ensembl:lncRNA
GACCCUCAAGAGACGAGGACAGAUUCACAGACUGACGUUUUCUGAACUCCACGAUCGGAGGUCGGGGGCGGUAUUCCGGGCAGCCUUGAAUGAAGAGGCGAUCUGGGCCCGGCCGCUGGCAGGUCUGUGCUGUCCAGGGGAGGCGGACAUCCAGGGGAGGCGGACAGGCUGCUGAGGCCAAGGAGCCACCCUCUUGCCCCAAGGACCGGCUCUCAGGCCCUCCCGCUGGACCCGCCCUCUGCGUUUGAUCUCACACCCCAGCCUGGGAGCACGAGGUUUUUCUUGGGCCUUGAAGUUUCCAGGCAUCCUGUCCCCUCCCCCGGGCACACGCCCAGCAUCACCCUGAGUUCUGACCACGCCCAGGGCGCCCAGAGUGCAUGGCCUCAUCCUCAUGACUGCCCCGAAGCAGUGCCCAGAUUCUCGUCCCCAUCUCUCAGAUAAGGAGACAGAGGCUCAAGGAGCUGAAUGGGGUAUCAGCUCGACCAACAGCUCAUCCUUAUCCCCGCAGCCUGGAAACAGCAGUGUCCGGGUUGCUCUGGGUUGCUCUCCGGAGGCCAGAGCUCCAAGCCUCGGGCCGGUCUGGCUCGUCUCGGCCGCGUUCAGAUGUCAGUCUGUGCAGCCACCUCUUUGGGGUCAAGUUCUUUAACAUCCGAUCCCGCGAGCCGUGGAGACUAGUGAACGGCUGGAAUCCAGGUCGCCGGACCCAGGAGUGGCUGGGGGCCACGGCCAGCCCAAAGAAGGAGGGCGAGAGGCAGCCGGGGUGUGAAGGGCAGGAAGGUCCCUUCCUCCUGAGCCCCACUGGCCUUGCCCUUGAGCUUCCCUGCCUUUAGGCAGGGCCUGGAUCAGGGCGGGGAGUCCCACAGCAAGAGGGAGCAGGGCUAUUGGAUCCCUGGGGGGCUCCUGCCCAAGUCCUCCUUCAUUUCCUGGAUUCCAGGAAGGCUCCGGGGUGGGGGGUGGGGGCAGUAGGCAAGCCCCGAACAGGGGUGUGCCCAUCCUGCGGCCCGGCCAGCCCUUCCGGUGCCGUGGCCAGCCCUACGCACGGCCAGCCAGAGCCUCUGGGAGCCUCUGGGAGCUGCAGCCCUGGGCCAGAGGCCAGGAAGGCCCGAAGCCUAGAAGAACAGAGAGGAGAUAAGGCCCAGGUCUGGCUGGGGAAGAACCUUGACUCUGAUGUGGGAAACAAAGGCAGAAAAAAAAUCAGGACAUUUCCUUACCACCUACAGCUCAUUGACAAGUCCUUGAAACAGGCAGAGUGACAUUCCUCCAGGAACUCAGCUGCCUUGAAGCAGAUACUUUCUAAGGACAAAAGGGAACAUUAGCCCAACCCCCAGGACCCUGUUAAGUCUGCUUGAACGUGUAACAAUUCCUUUAGAAACUUCCUUUAUCUCUACCCACCCCCGGACAAGAUACAAGUUGGCCAUCACCCCCAAGCAUAUGACCCACUGAUACACAUCUGAAGGGCCUCAGGACUGAGUUAUUAUUAAACAGUAAUACAUGACCUUUUCUUGGGGCGCCUGGGUGGCUCAGUGGGUUAAGCCGCUGCCUUCGGCUCAGG